CCUACGGGUGGCUGCAGUGGGGGAUAUUGGACAAUGGGGGGAACCCUGAUCCAGCGACGCCGCGUGAGUGAAGAAGUAUUUCGGUAUGUAAAGCUCUGUCAGCAGGGAAGAAAGAAAUGACGGUACCUGACCAAGAAGCCCCGGCUAACUACGUGCCAGCAGCCGCGGUAAUACGUAGGGGGCAAGCGUUAUCCGGAAUUACUGGGUGUAAAGGGAGCGUAGACGGUUAAGUAAGUCUGGAGUGAAAGGCCGGGGCCCAACCCCGUCGUGCCGUUGAAACUGACGCCCUUGAGUGAGUGAGAAGUAAGCGGAAUGCGUGGUGUAGCGGUGAAAUGCAUAGAUAUCAUGCAGAACGCCGAUUGCGAAGGCAGCUUACCGGCGCUCAACUGACGCUGAGGCACGAAAGUGCGGGUAUCGAACAGGAUUAGAUACCCCUGUAGUC
rnacentral:rRNA from 1 species